UACGGGGGGAGCAAGCGUUGUUCGGAUUUACUGGGCGUAAAGGGCGCGUAGGCGGCCACCGCAAGUCAAUUGUGAAAUCUCCGGGCUUAACUCGGAAAGGUCAACUGAUACUGCGGGGCUAGAGUGCAGAAGGGGCAACUGGAAUUCUCGGUGUAGCGGUGAAAUGCGUUGAUAUCAUCAGGAACACCGGAGGCGAAGGCGGCUCACUGGGUCUUUUCUGACGCUGAGGGACGAAAGCUAGGGGAGCGAACGGG
rnacentral:rRNA from 1 species